rnacentral:rRNA from 1 species
UACGUAGGGUGCGAGCGUUAAUCGGAAUUACUGGGCGUAAAGCGUGCGCAGGCGGUCUGUUAAGACCGAUGUGAAAUCCCCGGGCUUAACCUGGGAACUGCAUUGGUGACUGGCAGGCUUUGAGUGUGGCAGAGGGAGGUAGAAUUCCACGUGUAGCAGUGAAAUGCGUAGAGAUGUGGAGGAAUACCGAUGGCGUAGGGCAGCCUCCUGGGCCAACACUGACGCUCAUGCACGAAAGCGUGGGGAGCAAACAGG